rnacentral:rRNA from 1 species
ACUCCUACGGGAGGCAGCAGUGGGGAAUAUUGCACAAUGGGGGAAACCCUGAUGCAGCCAUGCCGCGUGUGUGAAGAAGGCCUUCGGGUUGUAAAGCACUUUCAGUAGGGAGGAAGGUAGUGUAGUUAACACCUGCACUAUUUGACGUUACCUACAGAAGAAGCACCGGCUAACUCCGUGCCAGCAGCCGCGGUAAUACGGAGGGUGCGAGCGUUAAUCGGAAUUACUGGGCGUAAAGCGCAUGCAGGCGGCCUGUUAAGUCAGAUGUGAAAGCCCGGGGCUUAACCUCGGAAUUGCAUUUGAAACUGGCAGGCUAGAGUCUUGUAGAGGGGGGUAGAAUUUCAGGUGUAGCGGUGAAAUGCGUAGAGAUCUGAAGGAAUACCGGUGCGAAGGCGGCCCCCUGGACAGAUACUGACACUCAGAUGCGAAAGCGUGGGGAGCAAACAGGAUUAGAUACCCUGGUAGGAUAGCG